GCAAACAGGAUUAGAUACCCUGGUAGUCCAUACCGUAAACGAUGAAUGCUAAGUGUGGAGGGUUUCCGCCCUUCAGUGCUGCAGCUAACGCAUUAAGCAUUCCGCCUGGGGAGUACGGCCGCAAGGCUGAAACUCAAAGGAAUUGACGGGGGCCCGCACAAGCGGUGGAGCAUGUGGUUUAAUUCGAAGCUACGCGAAGAACCUUACCAGGUCUUGACAUUCUAUGCAAAUUUAAGAGAUUAGACGUUCCCUUCGGGGACAUGGAUACAGGUGGUGCAUGGUUGUCGUCAGCUCGUGUCGUGAGAUGUUGGGUUAAGUCCCGCAACGAGCGCAACCCUUAUUAUCAGUUGCCAGCAUUAAGUUGGGCACUCUGGUGAGACUGCCGGUGACAAACCGGAGGAAGGUGGGGAUGACGUCAAAUCAUCAUGCCCCUUAUGACCUGGGCUACACACGUGCUACAAUGGAUGGUACAACGAGUUGCGAACUCGCGAGAGUAAGCUAAUCUCUUAAAGCCAUUCUCAGUUCGGAUUGUAGGCUGCAACUCGCCUACAUGAAGUCGGAAUCGCUAGUAAUCGCGGAUCAGCAUGCCGCGGUGAAUACGUUCCCGGGCCUUGUACAACACCGCCCGUCACAUCCAUGAGAGUUUGUAACACCCAAAGUCGGUGGGGUAACCUUUUAGGAACCAGCCGCCUAG
rnacentral:rRNA from 2 species